rnacentral:lncRNA from 1 species
CGAGACAUCAGUGCACAGAUGCUUGAAUUUACUGGCAAAUGGAGAAUGAGAGUUGUUUAUAAUGGUUCGAAAGAGAAUGGGACAUCCAUGCGGGCACGUCACCUCAUACGCUCCUUAAAGGAGAUGUAGUAUGUGAGAUACCAAAGGGUGCCCCAGCUUGGUGUUAGGGAAAGUGGUCAUAGGGUAUGGAUACAUGAUAGUUCAUGUGGAAAAUUCAAAUAAGACCCGUAAAGCUGCCCCGGUUUCUUGGGUAUGUGGAUUGAUGAAACAACAACUCUUGUAAGACUCACAAAGUUGCCCCAAUUUUAUUUGUUUUCUUUUUUAAUAUUUAUUGUGGUAUGGGUUGAUGAAAAACUUGUGUGAAACUCACAAAAUUGCCUUAGUUUUUUUGGCACGGGGUUUUGUUUGGAAGAGGUAGUGGGCAUGAAAAAGAUUGGCUAAAAGGAUGGCCCCAAUUAGUUUGAUUUUCUUUUGCAUGCUUCUGGCUAGUUGGUAGUAAGAUCCCCUUUUCCUGAGACAUUACUUUUUUCUUUUUUUUUUGUUUCAUUCAUUCAUUUUCAACUUUUGUUUUACGACCCAUUGAAAUUCAUUUCACCGUAUCAAAAAAUUAAGCUUUAUGAAAAUUUGAGCAAACAUUAUCCAAUCUGUGUGGACUUUAUUAGGCUUGUAAUGUGGCUAGGGGCUAAAAGGUAUUGGAAGAAAGGGUAUAAAGGCUGAAAUGAAUGUUUUUUGGUUAUAUUUUUUUAAACAAGGGUUAUCAUCCAGGCAUUGAAUCAACUAUUUGACUUUUUGAACACUUUGGUUUUUUUUCUUGAACUUUGAUUUUCAUUCUUUUUUUCAUAAUCACUUUGUGAGUUUUUGUUCUUUUUGUUUUUUUCUUUGUUCACUCUUCUUGAUGAAAUUUCUUCGUUUGAUCAUUGAGUACUCUUCAUUUACAUAGUGAGUUGACUCCUACCCGAUGACAACCCUUGCCUGGGGAUAAUUUUGUAAAAGAACUUAAUUUUUGGCUCAAACGGGGUGACAAUGGAUAUAUAUUUUUUUGUUUUUUAGAUAAAGAAAAGAAGGUCACACAUCAUUUCAAAUUUUGAUUGCUCUAUUUUCUAAAGAUUAAGUUUACGGCUAGAUGACUUCAACAUGAGUCGUUUUUUUAUUCUUUUUUUUUUUGCUUUUUCCCUUCUAGACCGCCCUUUCGGGUUUUCAAUCUAGUGGUGUGUUUUUUUUUUUGUUUUUUGUCUCAAUGGAUUCAAGGAUCAUCCUACUAGCGCAAGUGAGAAAACUUUUGGCUUAGUUAAUGUGUCCUAGUGUAAAGGUUUACUUUGUUACUGAGGGCAGCAAUAAUGUUUGUUGGGGACGAUCCUUUAUUUUUGAAAAGUGAAGGGUGAAGGUUCUCAAGCAACAUGUGCAUAAACGUCUAGGAAGGAAACUUCAAAUUGUUUUUUUUAUUAGACACUUGACCUCAAAAAAGUAUGACACUGCAACUUUUAUUUUUGAUUUAUCAUUUUUUAUUCCUCUCUAUUUUUUGCUAUUUUCGAAUAAUAAGAGUUUGACGAUUUGCAAGAAAGACAAGUGACUCAAGAUAUGCACAAGGUGCGUGAUUUUAUUAAGUGAAAAUGAGGGUUAGAAAACUGCACACAUCUCCCUUUGUGCCCUAAUAGAGGUUCAAGGCUUCGGAUUCAAGGUCAAAUAUAUGCAACCUCACCAGGAUGGUUUCCUGAACCUAAAGGUAAAUGGUCACUAGAGCUAUGGCCCCCUUCACAGCAUCUCCACAACAGUCGAGUAAUCAACUAGGUGUGAAGACAUAAAUGAAAAUAACAGACUCUAGUUGGGGUUCUCACGAUAGCCAAACAGGAAGUAUGUCCCAAGUGCCACCACUACACAUCCCCUCUAUUUCUAAACUACACUUAGACCCGGGUAUAGGGCCCCACUCAAAAGAUGCACCAAGCAUGUGUGUGAAGGGAGGAUGCAAUGCAUACCCAAACCCUCACCUGCAAAACAACUAGAAAAAUUCCCAGGCAGGUAUAAACAUGUUUUCUACCCUAGAGUUUAAUAGCCAAAAAAUUCACGUGCAAUUAUUUUAAAUAUCAAACAUAGAUAAAAAAAGGAAGAAAAUCAUAAAGCAAAACCACAUCAAAUUCGCGCAUCUAAUUAAAUGGCCUGAUUCUCAUUAUUCCCCAGUGGAGUCGCCAUCUGUCGCAACCAGUAUCGCGACGGGACGACGAUCAAAAAAAGAAAACGAUUUCUUUGAAAAAGAGAUUUUGGAGUCGCCACCAUAGUUUAUUCUAGAAAACUACGGAAAAACCAUAAAGAAAGAGACGUGGUCCACGAAAACCUGAUUUUGGGUUCGGGAGUCAGUUACGUGUAAGGAAGGUAUUAGCACCCUAUAACGCUUGCCCGAAGGCAGUACCUUUAAUUAAAUACGCGAAUAUGAUGUGGUUUUCAAAAUGUUUAAGUAUCCCCGAACGUUAUAAAGAGACAAAAGAUAUUUUUUAUUUUUUUUUGUGCCCCGACAAGGACUGACCUUGCUC